GGGAACUUCACUCUCGCUCUCCACUCUCUCAGCAGCCACCAACUCUUGAAUCUUGCACCAUUUCUAACGAUGUGUUACGGUCAUCAACGCUCCUUAUCUCCUGACGACUUAAUCCCCUCGCGAAACCCCCGAUCCCAAAACGACAACACAUCUGUCGUAGAAGAUCUACGGGGCCGCCUUGCCGAGACCGAGGCUCGCCUUGAACGGGCCAGGGCUCGAGAAGCCGAGCUCAGUCGCCGACUUGAGGAAAUGAAGCGAUUCGUCUCCGUUAUGGAGAUCCUCGAGAACUACCUCAAGCGAAGGUAUCAAGAGCAGCAAGAUAACGUCGCUAGCCUUUUCUCUUCUCUACCUGCUAAAUAGCUUUUAAUUCUCGGUGAUUUUAGCGUUUACCCCUUCUUGUUUAUAGUUUU
rnacentral:misc_RNA from 1 species